rnacentral:tRNA from 1 species
GGCCCAGUGGCCUAAUGGAUAAGGCGUCAGCCUCCGGAGCUGGAGAUUGUGGGUUCAAGUCCCAUCUGGGUCG